rnacentral:rRNA from 1 species
GAACGCUAGCUACAGGGCUUAACACAUGCAAGUCGAGGGGAAACGAUAUUGGAAGCUUGCUUCUGAUAGGCGUCGACCGGCGCACGGGUGAGUAACGCGUAUCCAACCUGCCCAUCACUUGGGGAUAACCUUGCGAAAGUAAGACUAAUACCCAAUGACGUCUCUAGAAGACAUCUGAAGGAGAUUAAAGAUUUAUCGGUGAUGGAUGGGGAUGCGUCUGAUUAGCUUGUUGGCGGGGUAACGGCCCACCAAGGCGACGAUCAGUAGGGGUUCUGAGAGGAAGGCCCCCCACAUUGGAACUGAGACACGGUCCAAACUCCUACGGGAGGCAGCAGUGAGGAAUAUUGGUCAAUGGACGAGAGUCUGAACCAGCCAAGUAGCGUGCAGGAUGACGGCCCUAUGGGUUGUAAACUGCUUUUAUAAGGGAAUAAAGUGAGUCUCGUGAGACUUUUUGCAUGUACCUUAUGAAUAAGGACCGGCUAAUUCCGUG